rnacentral:lncRNA from 1 species
UGAAAACAGAUGGAUGAAGUACUAAUUUUCCUCCAGUCUUUUAUUUCUUUUAAUCUGACCUUCUAUUGAUACAUGCACCAGGGACCCUUUAAACCUGAAUAAUAAUAAGAAAAAUGCAGAUUUGUGUUCUUAAUGCUGUGGUAUAAGGCGCUCUGGUAUGACACAAACUACUGACAUCUAGGUCAUCAGAGAAAGAAGAAAGUGCUUUCUGCAUGGUUUGGAAGAGCUGAACUUUCCAUGAGUAGUUCCAGCUUCAAAUGCUGUUCAAACCUGUCCACAUUGGAACCAUCCAGCUGCAGCGUGAGAGGUGUUCAUUUCUUGAUGGAGAUGUGCCAAGGCAUAUGGAAUGGGGAAGAAUUGCUCUAUGCAAUCCAUGCUUUGGCACACAGUGCUUCUGAACAUGUCACAGCGAUUAAAAAAGGGGAGAGAAACUGCACUGAACUGGCAGAUGACACUGGUUCACUGCCUGUGCUGGCCGGGAUUUGUUCUAAGAAGGCGAGCUGGGGGAUCAAAGGGCUGCUGCUGGCAGCGGGUGCCUCCAUGCAGCAAAAUGCCAGAGCCCAGCAGCCAGAGUGCAGGGGAAUGGGGUGGUUGUAGGGAUUUGGGCUGGUGGGCUUUUGUUAGAUAAUGUUCUUUUCUCCUUUUCUGCUGGGUUCUGAAUGGUGGGAAGGAAAGGAUACCUGAAGUCACACUUCUUUUUUCAAUGCCAUUUCUGUUCCCAAAGUGAUCUUGCAGAUAUCUUUUGUAGAUUCCUCCACAAAUAAAGUAGACUUAAAAAGCUGGAAAAGUGCAAUUCUUGAUGUUUGCACAUUUAUGUAGAACUGCUGGAUAUAGCUUCUUCGUUGUUUUCAAAACUCUUUUAUGUCUGGACUGUUGAGUCUUUCUCUAAAUGUAAAAGUUACUGACUUUAGGGAUCUGUUUUCAGAAAAGCUGCCCCAGCUCCCACUCCCCUUCAGGAGAAGAGAAAAUGAGAUGUAUAUUGCCUUAAGCUUGGACCACGCUAUAACAAACCUGCCAUGUCCAAGAGCUGAAAAGAGGAAAAUUCAAUGGAUAGGAUUCAUCCAUUGCUGGGAGGUACAGUGUCUAGUCUCUGUGGACUUUGCCUCUAUCUCAAGUAAAUGGAUUCACCAUCCAAUUUCCAAGUGUGAGGACUUUUUAUUGCCUUCCAGUAUCUUCUUAGUAUUUGACAGUGCUCAACCACAGCAAAUUCUCAGCUUAAGGGUGAUACACAAAAAUCUACAUUCAAUUCUCAAAGAAGAUGCUCUUAAUGGUACUUACCUUUUUUUUCUGCAGAAAUGUAGUCUCUAA